rnacentral:rRNA from 1 species
UAGGGAAUCUUCGGCAAUGGGGGCAACCCUGACCGAGCAACGCCGCGUGAGUGAAGAAGGUUUUCGGAUCGUAAAGCUCUGUUGUAAGUCAAGAACGAGUGUGAGAGUGGAAAGUUCACACUGUGACGGUAGCUUACCAGAAAGGGACGGCUAACUACGUGCCAGCAGCCGCGGUAAUACGUAGGUCCCGAGCGUUGUCCGGAUUUAUUGGGCGUAAAGCGAGCGCAGGCGGUUUGAUAAGUCUGAAGUUAAAGGCUGUGGCUCAACCACAGUUCGCUUUGGAAACUGUCAAACUUGAGUGCAGAAGGGGAGAGUGGAAUUCCAUGUGUAGCGGUGAAAUGCGUAGAUAUAUGGAGGAACACCGGUGGCGAAAGCGGCUCUCUGGUCUGUAACUGACGCUGAGGCUCGAAAGCGUGGGGAGCGAACAGGAUUAGAUACCCUGGUAGUCCACGCCGUANCGAUGAGUGCUAGGUGUUGGAUCCUUUCCGGGAUUCAGUGCCGCAGCUAACGCAUUAAGCACUCCGCCUGGGGAGUACGACCGCAAGGUUG